rnacentral:rasiRNA from 1 species
GCAAUCAAUACAGCGAGAUGGCCC